CAGCCGCCACGGUAAGACGGAGGGUGCUAGCGUUGUUCGGAAUCACUGGGCGUAAAGGGCGCGUAGGCGGCCUGUUAAGUCGGAUGUGAAAGCCCGGGGCUCAACCUGGGAACUGCAUCCAAAACUGGUGAGCUAGAGUACGGUAGAGGGUAGUGGAAUUUCCUGUGUAGCGGUGAAAUGCGUAGAUAUAGGAAGGAACACCAGUGGCGAAGGCGACUACCUGGACUGAUACUGACACUGAGGUGCGAAAGCGUGGGGAGCAAACAGGAUUAGAUACCCCGGUAGUCCCUGUCUCUUAUAC
rnacentral:rRNA from 1 species